rnacentral:tRNA from 1 species
GGGGCUGUAGCUCAGCUGGGAGAGCGCCGGUCUUGCACGCCGGAGGUCGCCGGUUCGAGCCCGGUCAGCUCCA